GUGAGUGGGAGUUCUGCCAUAAAUUAUCGAGAAGAUAUUUUCUUCCGCUUUUCUUUCAGAUCCAAAGUAGAGACGGGAGAACAGAAAGUACGAGAAGAGGAUUAAGUGAGGUGAUUCAAACUUCGAUUGCAUCUCGAUUAAACUGGAAACCAAUAACUGUUAGUGAAGGUUGGUCUCGUAAUGUUGCAGCAUUUAAAAGCUCCAGAAAAUGGUGAAGAAAAUACUUACAGACGAUGAAAGUUGAAGUUUAAGACAGUUGCGGUCGAAUUGAUCGAUAAACAAGUACUGUAGUAAAUAUCUUUGGCUGGUUCGAAAAGGAAGACAAAUAGCAAUGUUGCACCAUCAACCUCUGCUGCUGGAUCCUAAAGAAACACAAAUGGCACUACUGCACCAUCUUUGUAGUUAUGUUUCAAAAGAUAAUAUGGUUAUGUUUUUAAGAUCUUCUAAGACAAUAUGGUUGUUAUGUUAUGAUAGAUUUCCCAAGACAAUAUAUGUGGAUGCUAUUUUAUCUGAAUUAGUAGUGACGGUUAUGUCUCA